rnacentral:rRNA from 1 species
ACUCCUGCGGGAGGCAGCAGUGAGGAAUAUUGGACAAUGGGUGGAAGCCUGAUCCAGCCAUCCCGCGUGCAGGAAGACGGCCCUAUGGGUUGUAAACUGCUUUUAUCUGGGGAUAAACCUACUUACGUGUAAGUAGCUGAAGGUACCAGAAGAAUAAGCACCGGCUAACUCCGUGCCAGCAGCCGCGGUAAUACGGAGGGUGCAAGCGUUAUCCGGAUUUAUUGGGUUUAAAGGGUCCGUAGGCGGACUGAUAAGUCAGUGGUGAAAUCCGACAGCUUAACUGUCGAACUGCCAUUGAUACUGUUAGUCUUGAGUAAGGUUGAAGUGGCUGGAAUAAGUAGUGUAGCGGUGAAAUGCAUAGAUAUUACUUAGAACACCAAUUGCGAAGGCAGGUCACUAAGUCUUAACUGACGCUGAUGGACGAAAGCGUGGGGAGCGAACAGGAUUAGAAACCCCGGUAGUCCCAUGA